GAUGAAGAACGUAGCGAAAUGCGAUAAGUAAUGUGAAUUGCAGAAUUCAGUGAAUCAUCGAAUCUUUGAACGCACAUUGCGCCCCCCAGUAUUCUGGCGGGCAUGCCUGUUCGAGCGUCAUUUCAACCAUCAAGCCCUGCUUGUGUUGGGGUCCUGCGGCUGCCCGCAGGCCCUGAAAACCAGUGGCGGGCUCGCUAGUCACACCGAGCGCAGUAGCACAUCUCGCUCAGGGCGUGCGGCGGGCUCCUGCCGUGAAACCCCCCACUGUAACCCCAAAGGUUGACCUCGGAUCAGGUAGGAAUACCCGCUGAACUUAAGCAUAUCAAUAAGCGGAGGA
rnacentral:misc_RNA from 1 species